rnacentral:rRNA from 1 species
CGGACGGGUGAGUAAUGUCUGGGAAACUGCCUGAUGGAGGGGGAUAACUACUGGAAACGGUAGCUAAUACCGCAUAACGUCGCAAGACCAAAGAGGGGGACCUUCGGGCCUCUUGCCAUCGGAUGUGCCCAGAUGGGAUUAGCUAGUAGGUGGGGUAAAGGCUCACCUAGGCGACGAUCCCUAGCUGGUCUGAGAGGAUGACCAGCCACACUGGAACUGAGAUACGGUCCAG